GCGCGCGUAGCUCAAUUGGCUAGAGCGUUUCUUUGACGUAGAAAAGGUUCCCCGUUCGAGUCGGGGCGCGCGCACAA
rnacentral:tRNA from 1 species